UCUUUGGGAAGAAAAUAAGAUUCGGGAUUUUCUCUCCCAGAGAUGUCAAAAUGUUUUUCCUCCUCUUAGUUUCUCUUCAUCUCUCCAGUCUUUUUCUACACCGCCAUCUACCCAAAUCUUUCUUCCUCUCAUCAGUUGAAUCAUGAGUGGAACGGUUGAAUAUUUACAUGGACUACAGAUUCAAGGGAUUUUUUUUAUGGAGAGCAGUGAAGGAGGGGAUGAUAAUGUUCUGGACGGUUUAGCAAGUCAAAAAAGGUUAUCUUUGUGAACUCUUUACCCUUUCUUCCAUAUUUUUCUUGCACGAUGAGGUGGAAUAGUUACAAGCUAUCAGAAUGUAUCACUUCAAGAGGUGGAAACAUUUUCAAUUCUGAUUUUUUUGUACCUGAGCACAAGAAUGUAUAGAAGGAAGAAAGAUGACAACACCUACCUUUCAUUCUUUUCUGUUCUGUAGAGAAUUCAACUCGGACAUAUUAUUGCUUGUACACUUGCUGUUCGGCCUGUAGUUUUGCUUGCUUCCUUUUUCUAGAGAUGUUAGUCUUAUUUUUGUUUUUUCAGCUUUUGGUUAUUUGUCAACCUUAUUGAUGGGUUGCAAUAUUUACUUUUCUUUUCUUUUUUUUAUCAACUCAAUAGUGGCAAGGAGAGUAAACUAAUUUGUUUUCUUAGGUAAUUUGUAGUUUGCCUUUUAUUGGAA